rnacentral:rRNA from 1 species
AUUGAACGCUGGCGGCAGGCCUAACACAUGCAAGUCGAGCGGAGCGGCGGACGGGUGAGUAAUGGCUAGGAAUCUGCCUGGUAGUGGGGGAUAACGUUCGGAAACGGGCGCUAAUACCGCAUACUCUCAGCUGAGCCUAGGUCGGAUUAGCUAGUUGGUGUGGUAAAGGCCUACCAAGGCGACGAUCCGUAACUGGUCUGAGAGGAUGAUCAGUCACACUGGAACUGAGACACGGUCCAGACUCCUACGGGAGGCAGCAGUGGGGAAUAUUGGACAAUGGGCGAAAGCCUGAUGCAGCCAGGCCGCGUGAAUGAAGAAGGUCUUCGGAUUGUAAAGCGCUUUAAGUUGCGAGGCGUUACCCGCAGAAGAAGCACCGGCUAACUCCGUGCCAGCAGCCGCGGUAAUUC